CAAAACGUCUGAUGAAAUGGAGAUCAGAAACAACGUUGAAGAAGCUCAUACACUGCCAAUUGAACAUGUUGCUGGGAGCAGGAGGUACGAGGAAUUUCAUGCAUCCAUGUUAGCCAUGACCAGUUCCUAUCCUUCCAUAAACAGCGUGUGAAGACUGUGCCAUCUGCUACUGAGUGGUGGAUUCAAGCUGGCUGGGCAGAAACUACUCCCAGGUCAGU
rnacentral:lncRNA from 1 species